CCUUUCUUAUAUUACAUGGGAACCACUCAGAAUGCGUCUCCUUCCUCCUGCUCCCCACUUAGGGAGGAGAGGAACGGUCAUCAAUGACCGAAGGCUAUGUCCCACCAAGCUAGGGACAGCCCCGAUCGCCUUCACGCUCAGAAGGAGACGCUAUUUCUCUUCAUCGUGGGUUUAGGUCCAGUCAGGUUUAUCUGACGUCCCGGCGAUACAUACUAUAGAAAUGAUCCCUAAAAGUAUGAUCUUACCUGGUUAAGAUAACAUUUUGUUUUUGUUUACCUGUAUUUGUCACUAAGUGUAGGUGUUUGGUAUGGUUUUAACAGUUGCACCGAAAUAAAACAAAGAGACUAGUGUGUGUGCUUAUAAUAAUAUUAUUU
rnacentral:lncRNA from 1 species